UAAGUGACUAAGCGUACACGGUGGAUGCCUUGGCAGUCAGAGGCGAUGAAGACGUAGUAACUUGCGGAUUAAAGCCCAGAUUAGAGUAACAACCAUUGAGUCUGGAAUUUCUGAAUGGGGAAACCCACGUGCAUAAGCACGUAUCCUUACUGAAUACAUAGGGUAAGGAGGCGAACCGGAACGUUUUUUUUUUUUUUUAAACAUCUAAGACGCCGAGGAAAAGAAAUCAACCCGAGAUCUCGAAAGUAGCUGAACGCGAGCGAAAUGAACGGACGAGCACUGUAAGCUUAUAUAACAACAGCGAGAUUAUGACUCUCACGAUCUGCAGAAACAGUCCGACGAUAACAGGGUGAGUAGUCCCGUAGUGCGACUGUGUUCAGUGAAAUCGAGUAGGGCGGGACACGUGAUAUCCUGUCUGAAUAUGGGGGGACCAUCCUCCAAGGCUAAAUACUACUGACUGACCGAUAGUGAACCAGUACCGUGAGGGAAAGGCGAAAAGAACCCCUGUGAGGGGAGUGAAAUAGAACCUGAAACCGUGUACGUACAAGCAGUAGGAGCAGGCUUUGUCCUGUGACUGCGUACCUUUUGUAUAAUGGGUCAGCGACUUAUAUUCAGUGGCAAGGUUAACCAUCUAGGGGAGCCGUAGGGAAACCGAGUCUUAACUGGGCGUUCAGUCUCUGGAUAUAGACCCGAAACCAGGUGAUCUAGCCAUGGGCAGGUUGAAGGUUGAGUAACAUCAACUGGAGGACCGAACCGACUAAUGUUGAAAAAUUAGCGGAUGACUUGUGGCUAGGGGUGAAAGGCCAAUCAAACCUGGAGAUAGCUGGUUCUCCCCGAAAGCUAUUUAGGUAGCGCCUCGGACGAAUACUACUGGGGGUAGAGCACUGUUAAGGCUAGGGGGUCAUCCCGACUUACCAACCCUUUGCAAACUCCGAAUACCAGUAAGUACUAUCCGGGAGACACACGGCGGGUGCUAACGUCCGUCGUGGAGAGGGGAAACAACCCAGACCGCCAGCUAAGGUCCCAAAUUACUACUAAGUGGGAAACGAUGUGGGAAGGCUCAGACAGCCAGGAUGUUGGCUUAGAAGCAGCCAUCAUUUAAGAAAGCGUAAUAGCUCACUGGUCGAGUCGGCCUGCGCGGAAGAUGUAACGGGGCUAAGUAGUAAACCGAAGCUGCGGCAAUAUACUUUUGUAUAUUGGGUAGGGGAGCGUUCUGUAAGCGGUUGAAGGUGUGUGGUAACGCAUGCUGGACGUAUCAGAAGUGCGAAUGCUGACAUGAGUAACGAUAAAGGGGGUGAAAAACCUCCUCGCCGAAGACCAGGGUUCCUGUCCACGUUAAUUGGGGCAGGGGUAAGGUUCGACCCCUAAGGCGAGAGGCCGAAAGGCGUAGUUCCGUAUGGGAAACGGGUUAUUAUUCCCGUACUUCUUACAUUGCGAUGGGGGGACGGAGAAGGCUUAUGUGUGGCCUGGCGAGACGCGUGUCAGGUUUCAAGUGCGUAGGCUUAAGAGUUAGGUUUAAAUCCGGCUCUUUUCUAAGGCUGAGACACGACGUCGAGCAUCUACGGGUGUGAAGUCUUGAUGCAUGCUUCCCAGGAAAAGCCUCUAAGCUUCAGAUUGUAAGGAAUCGUACCCCAAACCGACACAGGUGGUCGGGUAGAGAAUACCAGGCGCUUGAGAGAACUCGGGUGAAGGAACUAGGCAAAAUGGUACCGUAACUUCGGGAGAAGGUACGCUCUUGAUGUGAAGUCCCUCUGCGGAUGGAGCUUGAGAGAGUCGCAGAUACCAGGGGUGGCUGCCAACUGUUAUAAAAACACAGCACUGUGCAAAAUCGUAGAUGACGUAUACGGUGUGACGCCUGCCGGUGCCGGAAGGUUAAUUGAUGGGGUUAGACUCGGUCGAAGCUCUUGAUCGAAGCCCCGGAUAACGGCGGCCGUAACUAUAACGGUCCUAAGGUAGCGAAAUUCCUUGUCGGGUAAGUUCCGACCUGCACGAAUGGCGUAAUGAUGGCCACGCUGUCUCCACCCGAGACUCAGUGAAAUUGAAAUCGCUGUGAAGAUGCAGUGUACCCGCGGCUAGACGGAAAGACCCCGUGAACCUUUACUACAGCUUGGCACUGAACAUUGACCCUACAUGUGUAGAUAGGUGGGAGGCUUGAAGCACGUACGCCAGUAUGUGUGGAGCCGUCCUUGAAAUACCACCCUUGUAGUGUUGAUGUUCUAACGUCGACCCCUUAUCGGGGUUGCGGACAGUGCCUGGUGGGUAGUUUGACUGGGGCGGUCUCCUCCAAAGAGUAACGGAGGAGCACGAAGGUGGGCUAAUCACGGUUGGACAUCGUGAGGUUAGUGCAAUGGCAUAAGCCCGCUUGACUGCGAGAAUGACAAUUCGAGCAGGUGCGAAAGCAGGUCAUAGUGAUCCGGUGGUUCUGAAUGGAAGGGCCAUCGCUCAACGGAUAAAAGGUACUCCGGGGAUAACAGGCUGAUACCGCCCAAGAGUUCAUAUCGACGGCGGUGUUUGGCACCUCGAUGUCGGCUCAUCACAUCCUGGGGCUGAAGUCGGUCCCAAGGGUAUGGCUGUUCGCCAUUUAAAGUGGUACGCGAGCUGGGUUUAGAACGUCGUGAGACAGUUCGGUUCCCUAUCUGCCGUGGGCGUUGGAAGAUUGAAGGGGGCUGCUCCUAGUACGAGAGGACCGGAGUGGACGAACCUCUGGUGUUCGGGUUGUGUCGCCAGACGCAUUGCCCGGUAGCUAAGUUCGGAAUCGAUAACCGCUGAAAGCAUCUAAGCGGGAAGCGAGCCCUGAGAUGAGUCUUCCCUGAUACUUUAAGUAUCCUAAAGGGUUGUCGGAGACUACGACGUUGAUAGGUCAGGUGUGUAAGUGCUGUGAGGCAUUGAGCUAACUGAUACUAAUUGCCCGUGAGGCUUAACCA
rnacentral:rRNA from 1 species